rnacentral:snoRNA from 1 species
AAGACUAUACUUUCAGGGAUCAUUUCUAUAGUUUCAUACUAGAGAAGUUUCUCUAUGUAGAGUACCCAAUCCACAACACAGUGUUCUCUCCUGAGCUGGAAGCUGGCCCUGAAUGUUGUUUUGUGCAACUGCCCACCUCCAUUGAUGAGAGUUAGAGGGGAAGAGCGCAGUCUGAGUGGA